rnacentral:lncRNA from 13 species
UCAGGUUGCACCAGGGGAGGUUUAGAUUGGAUGUUAGGAAAAACCUUUUCAUAGAGAUGUUUGUCAAGCUUUGGAACAGACUGCUCAGUGAAGAGGUCGAGUUGCCAUUCCUGAAAGUAUUUAAAAACGUGUAGAAAGUGGCACUUGAGGACAUGGUUUAAUGGUGAAUGUAGUGGGUUGACCUCAGCUGGAUGAAAUGCCUUGUGCCUCUGUGGAGAACUAAACUACCCAAAAUUACCAGUUUUGGUUUGGAGCUGUGCUUCCAGACACUCAUUUAGCCUAAGCCUGGUGCAAGAACAUCUGUAGAACUAAUUAGAAAGUGCGAUCCAUUCUGUAUGACCCGAAUGAAGCCAUCAGCUGGGUUAAGUCUAUGGCUUGAACAGAAGAUAAGAAAUAAUGGAGUCAGGAAGAAUGGUUUUGAACCUUACAGACUUUACUUUGAACUUAAAUUGAAUUUCAGUCUUUUUACAUUCUAGAUGAUUUUUUUUUUUUAAUUCUGUGGUUCACAAACAGACAAAUAAAAGUAUGGAAAUAGAAUAUAAUUAUUAAGGAAGAGUUCCUUUACAAUUGAAACCAUGAUGUUUGGAUAAUCUUCUGUACAGUCCUGCUGAAGAUUACCAAGCUGGUUUACAUUGAGUCUUGAUCAUAUUAUAGGUUGUUCCAACCUUUGGAAAUGUAAAGAAGUUCGUUAAACAGAGACCUGAAUGAAAAGAAUCUCAACUGCAGGCUCCCACUCACUCCAUCACUCCAGAGUCCUUUACUCUCCCACCAGGUGGUGCAGGAGUGGGUGGUUACAUCCGGAGACCAUGGUUCCUCCCUGUUGCUCCUUCCCCCUCCCAUUUUUCCUCUGCUCUCGCUUUGUCUCUCCAAGGGAGUUCUUCAGGAGUAUCUACUUCACCACGGAGCACCUUCUCCUUUCCUUCUGAUCUUGGUAUUCCCACUGCUGUGUUUCACUCUUAUCUACCCUCCGCCACUGCCUGUGUGGUGUUUUCUGCCCUUUUAAAAAUACGUUUUCAGAGAAAUGCCACCAGCUUCUCUUGUGGGCUCAGCUGUGUCCUGUGGUGGGUCUGUUGAACCCUCUUCUCUUCCCAGUGGGCAAUCUUUCACAAAUUUUAGCUAUGCCUGAAAAUUACUUUGAGAAGUAAACUUUGUGAAGGUAUUUUGAAAUAUUUUAUUUUGUAUUGUCAAACAGUCAUGACUGUACUGAGACCAUUCUCUCUCUUGAAGUCCUCUGGGACCCAAGGAUGGUUGUAGAAACCAUACAUUCCUCAUCAUAGGAGGUUAAAAUUCAGUCAUUUAUUUUAAUGAAUAACAGUUCCAGUCUGAAAAUGUAGUUUUAAAUCACAAUAUAGAUCAUUUUCAUUGAGUCUCAGUGAUUUAAAACAUUUAUUUAAAUCAGUGUUGAAUUACAAAUUCUACAAACGUAACUCAGAAUUUAGAGGUAAAUUCUGACAGUCAGUAAGCUGCAACCCUGUGGCCAAUUUAUAUGUGGUUUUCAUACUAUUAGAUCAUUCUGACUGCUUGAACAAUGUUAAAAAUGGCCAAUGUUAAAAAAAAUACGGAUCUACUGCUAGCAAAAUAUUGCAAUGAAAUCUGGUAACUAACUGAAUUUUCCUUUGGCAAGAAGAAUACAAUUAAUAUCACUGAAAUAGUUCUUCAGACCACAUUGCUUUGAUUUCUUUGUGUAGAUGCAUGAUACUUAUCCUGUUUUAUCCAAGAAUAACUUCUUUCAUGAGACUGAAUAUUUACUGUUUUGAAGUCCUUUGCCCCUUGAUAAUAUUUGCUAGUAUUAUUAAAAUGUAAAUGCAAAAUUGCUGCUGUUCAGAGUACACCAGCAGGGAAAGGCCAGACUGUUGAGCAGCCUGAUGCAGAUACAUGCUGACAGCAGAAUAUUUAUUUACCAUUUCUAAUUCAUAAUUGCCCCAAAAAAGUGUCAUUUGUUUUUAGCAGUGAUUCAAGCUGACAUUUGCAUCGCAUUGCAUUACAUUAAGCAGCAUUAUGGUCUGCAGAAGUUCUAAGCGGUGUAGGUAGAGUACACAAUUUAAAACAGCAGCUCCAAAUGAAAGACAUGGCUAAGAAAAGUCCCUUAAGGUUUAGCACAGCUGUUGGAGAAAGGGUGAAUGGAAUUUAGUCUAUAAAGGCUGGAAGACACCAUUUCAGAAAGAUAAGUGGUCUCAUCAAGUCUACUAGAGCCCAGAGCUACUUCCUGAGGUGCUCAAGUUGAUUAAAUCUGCCUGAGAGUUUUUUACAUGCGUGUGAAUUGGUUAUUUCCUGAACUUCCUGCUA